rnacentral:rRNA from 1 species
UCAGAACGAACGCUGGCGGCAGGCUUAACACAUGCAAGUCGAGCGCCCUGCUUGCAGGGAGCGGCAGACGGGUGAGUAAUGCAUGGGAAUCUACCCAGCUCUACGGAAUAACUCAGGGAAACUUGAACUAAUACCGUAUGCGCUUCGGGGGAAAGAUUUAUCGGAGUUGGAUGAGCCCAUGUCUGAUUAGCUAGUUGGUGGGGUAAAGGCCUACCAAGGCGACGAUCAGUAGCUGGUCUGAGAGGAUGAUCAGCCACACUGGGACUGAGACACGGCCCAGACUCCUACGGGAGGCAGCAGUGGGGAAUAUUGGACAAUGGGGGCAACCCUGAUCCAGCCAUGCCGCGUGAGUGAUGAAGGCCCUAGGGUUGUAAAGCUCUUUCACCGGUGAAGAUAAUGACGGUAACCGGAGAAGAAGCCCCGGCUAAUUCGUGCCAGCAGCCGCGGUAAUACGAAGGGGGCUAGCGUUGUUCGGAAUUACUGGGCGUAAAGCGCGCGUAGGCGGAUCGGUCAGUUAGGGGUGAAAUCCCGGGGCUCAACCCCGGAACUGCCUCUAAUACUGCCGAUCUAGAGUUCGAGAGAGGUGAGUGGAAUUCCGAGUGUAGAGGUGAAAUUCGUAGAUAUUCGGAGGAACACCAGUGGCGAAG